AGUGGGAUAGCUGAAUCAAAUGGUGGUUCCAUUCCAAGUUUUCUAAGAAAUCUCCACACUACUUUCCAAAGUGGUUGCACCCAUCUGCAAUUCCCACCAGCAAU
rnacentral:pre_miRNA from 1 species